CAGCUUUGUGACUGUGCAAAGUCUGGAUUUUCAGCCUUCCUCAUGUGCCUGGAAUUUGCAAAUGUCCCUGAGGUGUUGCUAUGAUAACCGAUUGUGGAUAAAGGAGAAGAGUACUAAUAUACACACAUAGGAUUUGAAGGCAUGUGUUAUAAACAAGGCUUUAAAAGCGUAAUUGUAGAAAAACAGAACAUCUUGAAAGUACAAACAAGGCAAAUUUAAAAUGUUCACUCUCAUAAGACAAAUGAAAAAAAGGCAAAUCAAGUUAUUUUUUGAAAUCCAAUGGCAAAUACAACAGCAAAUGUUGCCAGUUUUGAUUUACUUGAUUGAAUUUGUAAAAAUGCUUUUGGAAAAAUGAGGUACUGAGUUGAGAAUGAAGCAUUUCAGCUCAGGAAUCUGCUUGGGAUGUUAUUUAAUGAUCAAUUUUGCAGAUUAUUCAUUGUCUUUGGUUGGUUGUCUCUCUUUGUCAUCCUCUUUUUAUCACCUCUUAUCCUCUCUAGCAUUCUCCUGAAAGAGUUGGGUUUUUAAAUUAUGAUAAUGUAACUUUAUUAUUAAUAACGUAAAAUACAGAUAAGUACCAAGAAAAACAAGUCUAUAAUCCCACACAAUGAAGAGAUGAGUAUUAUUAACAUGUUAGUAUAUUUAUUCCCAGUGUUUUUCUUUUUGUCAUAGGCACUUAUGUCCUCUACAGUUUUCAAUAUAUAUAUAUAUUUAUUUUAUAUAUUAUCAUAAGCAUUUCUCCUAUGACAUUGCAAAUUUAUCUGUAACAUCUUUUAAAAUUGGCUUCUUAGUGUACAGCUUAAUGAGUUUUGACAUGUGUAUACAUAUAUAACCAUCACCCUAGGGUGGAGGGAUGAGUAAAAUAGGUGAAAGGGAAAAAAUUAAUGAGCAUGUUUAAUAUCUUGAUCUGGGUGAUGGUUACCUGAGUGUAUACCAUGUCAGAAUUCACUGAGCUGUACACUAAGAUUUAUUAUAUGUAUCUCAAUUAAAAAAGAAUUCUAUAAAAUAGGUUAAGGAUUUCAAAUCAGAAAAAACAAACAAACCAGUAGAUAGUAUAUCCCUAAAGAGAGAUGACCUAAGAAGAAAAAGAACAGCACAAAAUAAAAUAAAAAUAAUAUAAACAUAAGAUUUUAAAUUAUUUUCAGUUAUUGUAUUGUUUUUAAUAGCGUUGGUAGAAUUAUUGUAAAACUGACUAUGUAUUGGGAAAAUAAAACUGUUACAGGUUGGAGUUUCAGAAAAAUAAAACACAAUACAAUUGG